rnacentral:rRNA from 2 species
GCGGUUGCUUAGGUCUGAUGUGAAAGCCUUCGGCUUAACCGAAGAAGGGCAUCGGAAACCGGGCGACUUGAGUGCAGAAGAGGACAGUGGAACUCCAUGUGUAGCGGUGGAAUGCGUAGAUAUAUGGAAGAACACCAGUGGCGAAGGCGGCUGUCUGGUCUGCAACUGACGCUGAGGCUCGAAAGCAUGGGUAGCGAACAGGAUUAGAUACCCUGGUAGUCCAUGCCGUAAACGAUGAGUGCUAGGUGUUGGAGGGUUUCCGCCCUUCAGUGCCGGAGCUAACGCAUUAAGCACUCCGCCUGGGGAGUACGACCGCAAGGUUGAAACUCAAAGGAAUUGACGGGGGCCCGCACAAGCGGUGGAGCAUGUGGUUUAAUUCGAAGCUACGCGAAGAACCUUACCAGGUCUUGACAUCUUGCGCUAACCUAAGAGAUUAGGCGUUCCCUUCGGGGACGCAAUGACAGGUGGUGCAUGGUCGUCGUCAGCUCGU